CCUACGGGCGGCUGCAGUGGGGAAUAUUGGACAAUGGGGGGAACCCUGAUCCAGCCAUGCCGCGUGUGUGAAGAAGGCCCUCGGGUUGUAAAGCACUUUCAGUGAGGAAGAACGCCUGGUGGUUAAUACCCAUCAGGAAAGACAUCACUCACAGAAGAAGCACCGGCUAACUCCGUGCCAGCAGCCGCGGUAAUACGGAGGGUGCGAGCGUUAAUCGGAAUUACUGGGCGUAAAGCGCGCGUAGGUGGCUUGAUAAGCCGGUUGUGAAAGCCCCGGGCUCAACCUGGGAACGGCAUCCGGAACUGUCAAGCUAGAGUGCAGGAGAGGAAGGUAGAAUUCCCGGUGUAGCGGUGAAAUGCGUAGAGAUCGGGAGGAAUACCAGUGGCGAAGGCGGCCUUCUGAACUGACACUGACACUGAGGUGCGAAAGCGUGGGUAGCAAACAGGAUUAGAUACCCGAGUAGUC
rnacentral:rRNA from 1 species